GGGUAGGGUGCAGACCCUUAUACUGCAACAAGAAAAGGCUGAAAAUAACCAAUUGAUAGAUAUAUGAUCGAUACACACAUUGAUGAUAUGGUCUCAUCCCAUGAGGAAAUGAUUUAAAUGAUGAAGCUCUUCAUGUGGUGCUUGCAAAAAUGAACCAGACCUAGCUUCUAUGGUCUAAUUCAAUCACCUCAAUCCCUCUUUUUUGUAUACUGUCAGUCUAAUUUUAAUCAUAUUUAUAAUUUAUUCCAACCUACGCUGUCUUGUCAUGUUCUAAUUUUUUUGAGCAAAAGUAAUUCUCUAACUUGAGACUGGAAAACGGCGGAAUUGAAGAACCCGGUUGGCCUUCAGUGACAAGUGUUGCUACUAAAUACAUGUCGUGCCAUAAUUAAAGUUGGUUUGCAGUAACCGACCACUUACAAGGUUCUUUUUGGUAGUGGGGACUAACCCAGUGCAAUAGAUCCAGGAGUUGAUUUGUUGUUAUUUUGUCGACUAGUAUCCACAAAGGUCUGGCCAACGAAUGACUCAACACCCAGUUGAGCUACAUUCGUGAGUACAUAAAAAGCAAAAAUUAACUAGUGUUUUAUAGGUUUAUUUUGUUAGUUUGAUGUAUCUUUUACAUAAGGUUAUCAUCGAAUAACCAAUAGAAACUCGCGGCACAAAUGUUAUGACGAAUUACACAACUAAACUCAUGACCCGUCACAGCUCACAACCCCAUUUCCAUUUCGCUACACAAGUGUGUAAUGACCAACCAACUUCAGUACAUCCAUCAUGAGCUCCCGUUGCAUAUACUUAUAUAUAUGAAAGGCAGCCCCGAAUAGGAUUGCAGUAAAAUUAGGCAAGCUGGUUAUAAAUGGCAACUCCGAAUAGGACGCAUAGGUAGGAAUGCAGCGAAAUUAGUCGAGGUGUGUGUUGCAAGGUUUUUGGUACCGAGCGAAAAUAUCUUAGUUCAUCCUGAUCGGUGUGGAAACUAUGGGCACGUUCGUACUCACUCCGUUCCACGACUCCGCGCUGGAGUGGAAUGGCAUGCAGUGAUAAAUCUGGGAGUUGUUAAAAUUUGCUUUACGCGCUUUGCUAUGCAGAGAGUGUUGGGGAACGUCGCAUGAGAAACAAUAAUUUUCCUACGCGCACGAAGACCUAUCAUGAUGAUGUCCAUCUACGAGAGGGGAUGAGUGAUCUACGUACCCUUGUAGAUCGUACAGCAGAAGCGUUAGAGAACGCGGUUGAUGUAGUGGAACGUCCUCACGUCCCUCGAUCCGCCCCGCGAACAAUCCCGCGAUCAGUCCCAC
rnacentral:lncRNA from 1 species